UGAGCUCUGAUUCAGCUGCUUGGAGGAGCGUGCAAUGUGCGGGCAUGUGUGUGUGGGAUGAUGGGACGGGAGAGGGAGAUCUUGCAGCUAGGGUGGGCACUUUGACGAGCUGGGGGUUUUGGAUCGGAGCCACCUACUAUUUAUACGGGGGCAUAGAUCGAACAAGUCCCCUACUUCAUUCUCUCAUCAGCAAAGCUAGCUAGCUCUCCUCCCAGUCCCAGCUCAACUCAAAGCAAGCAAUGCAAGCAAGCGUCCGUUCUUCAUUCUGUCUCUGUCGUCCGUGCAUUGCAUUGUCCUUUCUGCCCCCCAUCUACGUACCUCUCUUCUAAUCUUCCUCCUCUCGUCGACCUCUGCCUCUGUAAUCGUCUGUGUACAAGAGAAAGGAGCCAUUGGGUUUGGGUGAGCGGGGAAUAGGAGUUACUUUGUUCUCUUCUUUUGAAGCCAAGGCAUGCAUGCAUGAUGCAUGCACACACAGACAAGCUAUCUGCUUAUAUUAGCUUUGUUUCUGUGCUGCCAUGGCGCCCUGCAACUGCAAGUUCAGUUAGUUCAGGGAAGAUAGAGCAUGCAUAUGGCAUGGCAUGGUAUGUCAAUGUGGCGUGGAUCGAUGUUGGAGAUGGUAGGUGCGCCAAUGCGUUGGGAAGCAGCAGCAGCAGGUCGAAAGAGAAUCGCAGAUGCUCUUGACUUGCACGCGCGUGGCUUCUUCACCAUCCGUCAUUUAAGCAUGCUGCACAAGGAGGAUCCGGGGUACGGUGGCCGGGCACAAUGAAGCAUCGUCUGUUUUCGAAGCCAAGACGGCAACAAGAAAAGAAGAUCGAAGGGGAUUCGCAAUGCCAGGACUGCAAGUAGCUAGUGUCGUUGAUGAGAGCGUUAAGCUAGCAGUGCCAGUUGCUAACAAUAAUAAGAGGUCAUGCAAUGCAAGGUCUGCUAUGAGUGCAUACUGCCUCCUCCUGCUGCAUAGAUAUAUUAUUUGUAGCUCGAUGCAUGGGAAUUGAAGCUGAGACAAACUAUGUGUACGUGUGCUUGGUUUAGCGAGCUGACAUGGAUAUACAAUUUUCGGACACGUGUGUAUGUAUGUGUGCUCGAGGCAUAUACUUAAGUUUACAUAUGUACGUUUUGGUGGA